rnacentral:hammerhead_ribozyme from 1 species
ACCUGCUGACGAGUCCCAAAUAGGACGAAACUCGCGUCCUGGAU